GACUCUGUGGUGCAGCGGUCAGCACGGCUGCCUCUGAAGCAGCAGACUCGGGUUCGACUCCCGGCGGAGUCU